UACGUAGGGCGCAAGCGUUGUCCGGAAUUAUUGGGCGUAAAGAGCUCGUAGGCGGCCUGUUGCGUCCGCUGUGAAAUCCCGGGGCUCAACCCCGGGCCUGCAGUGGAUACGGGCUGGCUGGAGGCAGGCAGGGGAGAACGGAAUUCCUGGUGUAGCGGUGAAAUGCGCAGAUAUCAGGAGGAACACCGGUGGCGAAGGCGGUUCUCUGGGCCUGUUCUGACGCUGAGGAGCGAAAGCGUGGGAGCGAACAGG
rnacentral:rRNA from 1 species